rnacentral:tRNA from 1 species
CAAAGCGUAGCUUAAAAUAAAGCAUCUAGUUUACACCUAGAAGAUUUCAUACAGAUUGACCGCUUUG